CCCCAAAUCCACCCUCACGCCGCCGCCGUCCCCCGCACCCCCGCCCCUCCCCAGAGUUUCUCGAUCCAGCCCCGCCCUCUUCACGCCCUCGCCGCCACCACUGACGGCGCCCGACCCUCCCCUCGAUCUCAGAUCGCAUCGAGCUCCCCCCUCUCCCUCCCACUUCUCGAAGCUCCCACGUCCCACCGUCGAACUCGGGCAGCCGAGCGGCAGGGGCGUCCCCGGCGCCGUCGAUCCCGGCCAUGGCCUGCAGCCAGUGGGCGCAAGUCCAGUGGCCCGACCGCCAGCCCCCACGCGCGAGCCUCGCGGAAUCGACCCCCCUCCGUCCGCGACAUGCUGCGGUGGAGAGUUCCCCUUCCCCGUGGCAGCAGGUGCUGGUGGCGGUUGCGCCGCGACGCUCGUCUCCCGGCCUGCUCCGACGCGGCGCAGACCUUGCCGGAGCCGCCGCGGGACGAGACGCCGAGCUCGAGCUCGGAAGCGUCAGAGCCACCGAUUCCUGAAGACCCGAGGCUGGAGGAGAUCCGAUCGGAGCUGCUUGAUUCCCCGACGAUGCUGGAGCAGUGGUGUUGUCCAGCCCGGAGUCCUCCGCAUUCGUGGUCCGCCUGCUCGUCGAGGGGGACAAGCACGGGCACAUACGCCAGAGCGUGCUCGGCGGGUUCGUGCACCACGCGCACGGGAUCAUGGGGAACAGGCAGGAGCAUGCGGUGUUCCAAGCGCUGCUGCGCUUCUCCCAGUGGCGGCACCAGGAGCUCAGCCGCAUCAUGGACGCCGCCGUGGAGCCCAACCUCGUCUCGAGGACCAACGACGGAUUCAGCUGCUCCUAUGCCCACCUGCGAUUGGGUCUAAUGCAAGCACACACAGCCUCAAGUUAAACAAGUACCAGUCGCCGGCAUUCAAUAUCUACACUACAUGCAUAGUCGUAUAGUGCUGAAACUUGUACAUGAUGCAUAAAGUUGGAGUGACUUAAUCGAGCGCUACGAGGGCAUAAAUCAUGAAACUGUUGGCGGAUAUCGCAAUGUUGAGGCAUGAGCGUGACCACCUGGAGGCCAGCGUGAGGAGGCAGACAGGAGAAGACCUGCCGUCCGGUGCAACCGCGGUAGAGCUCCGCGGUCUGGAGCACAAGCUAGAGUGCGCGCUGGGUAAAGUCCGUGAAACGAAGGAUAAACUGAUGGAGGAGCAGCUGGACGAAUCACACCACAGGGUGCACAUCCUGGAGGAGCAGAAUAGCUUCCUUGGCCACAUGGUAUGGUAGGAGUGAUUUGCAUCGCUGCGUCCCUGCGUGCCAUAGAAUUUUGAAGGUAUUGAAGCACAACCUUUGUACCCAACCUGCAAAAUGCUAGUAUAAGAUUCUUAGAUAAGGAGGCGCUCAAACAAUUUCAACUACAAGCAGAUAUUUUUCCUAAAUUCAAGACGAAAGAAGAUGUUCAAAGAAGCGCCAAGACAUUUUUGUAUAGCAAGUUAUGUAAUAAUAGUUGGGUUAUCUGGGCAUUGUGAACUCCAGAAUUUCAUAUGUCUUCUCUCUGUUUUUGAAUGAAAUGUUGUAUGUUUUAGAAUUACAAUCUUUGUUUCAUAUGAAAUAGUAAUUAUGUAUGUGAUUUGAAAA